GAUGAACGCUGGCGGUAUGCUUAACACAUGCGAGUCGAACGGACUCUUCGGAGUUAGUGGCGGACGGGUGAGUAACGCGUGAGAAUCUGGCUUUGGGUUCGGGACAACCACUGGAAACGGUGGCUAAUACCGGAUGUGCCGAGAGGUAAAAGAGAAAUUGCCUGAAGAUGAGCUCGCGUCUGAUUAGCUAGUUGGUGAGGUAAAGGCUCACCAAGGCAGCGAUCAGUAGCUGGUCUGAGAGGAUGACCAGCCACACUGGGACUGAGACACGGCCCAGACUCCUACGGGAGGCAGCAGUGGGGAAUUUUCCGCAAUGGGCGAAAGCCUGACGGAGCAGUACCGCGUGAGGGAAGAAGGCUCUUGGGUGGUAAACCUCUUUUCUUAGGGAAGAACAAAAGGACGGUACCUAAGGAAUCAGCAUCGGCUAACUCCGG
rnacentral:rRNA from 1 species